rnacentral:tRNA from 1 species
GGUCCGUUGGUCAAGGGGUUAAGACACCGCCUUUUCACGGCGGUAACACGGGUUCGAAUCCCGUUCGGACUA